UUUUGAUCGGAUUAGUCUAAUUAUUAUAAUGAAAGUAAGAUGAUCAUUGUAGCAAAUUAGUAUCAACUGAAGGCUUAGGGAUAAGGAGGAAAAAAGUGGUCUUCUGAAUGGGACAAAUAUGCUUUACAUACACUAAUUUUGCAGCUGAAAGACUAGAUUUGGAGAUUAUUUAUGUGGGGUGUUUGAAGGCAUCAGAUUUAGAAUUCAAUAAACAAGAGGAAGUAGCAAAAUUCUUAUGAGAGAAAUUUAGGUUCUAAUAUCUUUGACAACUUGGGAAAAAAGGCUUAUGAGUUAUGACAACAAAGCUUUAUGGAGUGGUCAAAUUUCAAAAGGCAUGGUGCUUUUUUUUUCCAUUAUGUAAACAGAUUUCCUCAUUGAAAAUGAAGAAUGUACGAUUUCACAAUAUUGUAUACUUUUGUUGCUUAGUGCGCGUAAAUAUUAUGAAGUGUUAAAACCUGAAACAUGUAGAAUUAUUUUCUUGGUGUUAUGAUCCUUUUAGUAUUCCUGUAAUAAUUGCACAAAUAAUACAAACAAUGAUGUCGGCCAUACGCCCGUGCACGGACCAUCUAGUGUGUUGUAAUAGUAGCUUAUUGUUUUAUGUAUUUAUAGUAGUUUGGUGUA